rnacentral:rRNA from 1 species
AUUGAACGCUGGCGGCGUGCCUAAUACAUGCAAGUCGAACGGAGUGGCGCACGGGUGAGUAAUAUAUAGCUAAUCUGCCCCUUGCUGGAGGACAACAGUUAGAAAUGACUGCUAAUACUCCAUAGCAAGGGAUGAGACUAUAUCGUAUCAGCUAGUCGGUGGGGUAACGGACUACCGAGGCUAUGACGCGUAACUGGUCUGAGAGGAUGAUCAGUCACAUGGGAAAUGAGAAACGGGCCAAACUCAGACGGGAGGCAGCAGGAGGGAAUAGUGCGCAAUGGGGGAAACCAGGACGAAGCAACGACGCGUGGAGGAGGACACUGGUCGGAGCGUAAACGCCUUUUGUUAGGGAAGCGGUACCUAACGAAUAAGCACCGGCUAACUCCGUGCCAGCAGCCGCGGUAAUUC